CGCCCGUUGCAACUUGCAACUUGCAGCAAACAAAGGCGCCAUCGCCGUUCGCAACUCCAACCCACCGAAUCCGUUCACGCAAAGUCAAAACAACUCCGCCAUCUCAUCUUCCUCGAUCAAAAACAAGGCGGACAAUGUCAACGCUCCUCGGCACCAACACAAUUCCUAGCCCAACGCCAUCUACUGCCCUUGCAGCACACGGGAGAGGGGAGGGAGAUAGAGAGCGCGAGAGAGAUCCGGCCGCAACGCUGCGCGCUGUUCUUCUUCUCCAGGUCAAGGUUCUCUCCGGACUUCCGGAGAACUGCGCGCCGGUGACCGUUAGAGCAUGGCGGCCGCCGGCGCUAAGAUCUGGCGGUCACAACUCACAACCUAGCCGCGCCGCCGAUGAGGUUCGGUUCGUUCUGCUUUGAGCUUUGUUCCUCGGUUUUGGCCUGUGGUUCCAUAAUUCCGUGGCGACGAGAGACCCAUAUUACAUCCGGACGGUCCUGAUCCGCCCUCUGUCAACGGGACCGAGCUGUUGAUGGGGAAAAAAUUAGGAAGGGACGUCGGAGCCAUUCCCUGCCGCGUUCAUCCUUAAUCAACCAUGGUUCAGGACUUCAGGGGAGGAUGAUAAAUAAAUUCGCAUGAUGAGAUUGAACCUUUCCGAGCUGCUUUCUUUCCUGAGCAUGAUCAUCAUUAGUUCCAUGCAAGCUAUAAACGGGGGGAAACGACAGCAAGAACAUCAGAGGUUAUACCAUAACCAUCAUCUAUUUGGUUUCUAUGUUCGAAGCUACAUAUACAUAUUAUAUUUAUGAAUUAUAAAAAUUUAUCUUAAGGACCAGCUCCUUGCAUUUACA